UGGGGAAUUUUGGACAAUGGGGGAAACCCUGAUCCAGCCAUCCCGCGUGUGCGAUGAAGGCCUUCGGGUUGUAAAGCACUUUUGGCAGGAAAGAAACGUCGCGGGUUAAUACCCCGCGAAACUGACGGUACCUGCAGAAUAAGCACCGGCUAACUACGUGCCAGCAGCCGCGGUAAUACGUAGGGUGCAAGCGUUAAUCGGAAUUACUGGGCGUAAAGCGUGCGCAGGCGGUUCGGAAAGAAAGAUGUGAAAUCCCAGAGCUUAACUUUGGAACUGCAUUUUUAACUACCGGGCUAGAGUGUGUCAGAGGGAGGUGGAAUUCCGCGUGUAGCAGUGAAAUGCGUAGAUAUGCGGAGGAACACCGAUGGCGUAGGCAGCCUCCUGGGAUAACACUGACGCUCAUGCACGAAAGCGUGGGGAGCAAACAGGAUUAGAUACCCUGGUAGUCCACGCCCUAAAACGAUGUCAACUAGCUGUUGGGGCCUUCGGGCCUUGGUAGCGCAGCUAACGCGUGAAGUUGACCGCCUGGGGAGUACGGUCGCAAGAUUAAAACUCAAAGGAAUU
rnacentral:rRNA from 1 species